GAAUAUUGGACAAUGGGGGAAACCCUGAUCCAGCGACGCCGCGUGAGUGAAGAAGUAUUUCGGUACGUAAAGCUCUAUCAGCAGGAAAGAAAAUGACGGUACCUGACUAAGAAGCCCCGGCUAACUACGUGCCAGCAGCCGCGGUAAUACGUAGGGGGCAAGCGUUAUCCGGUUUUACUGGGUGUAAAGGGAGCGUAGACGGCAGCGCAAGUCUGGAGUGAAAUGCCGGGGCCCAACCCCGGAACUGCCCUGGAAACUGUGAAGCUGGAGUGCAGGAGAGGUAAGCGGAAUUCCUGGUGUAGCGGUGAAAUGCGUAGAUAUCAGGAGGAACACCGGCGGCGAAGGCGGCUUACUGGACUGUAACUGACGUUGAGGCUCGAAGGCGUGGGGAGCAAGC
rnacentral:rRNA from 1 species